rnacentral:rRNA from 1 species
AUGAAACUGUUAAGCUGGAACUGCCGGGGGCUUGGGAACGCCCCGGCAGUUCGCGCUUUGCUGGAUGUCCAGCGGAGUUGUAGCCCAGAUGUGAUGUUUUUGUCGGAGACACACUUAGAAAGCUAUCCGGCUGAAUGUUUGAGGAGAAGACUGAAAAUGGAUCAUAAAAUUGUUUGCCCUGGUGAUAGUAGAAAGGGAGGUCUGGUGAUGUUUUGGAAAAAGGAAGUAAAGGUUCUUCCACUAAAUUUGGAUCCAAUGUUCAUUGAUGUACAAGUUGAGGAUGAAGGACACUUAGUGUGGAGGUGUACGGGGAUGUAUGGGGAAUUUAGAUGGACGUAG